UACGGGGGGGGCAAGCGUUGUUCGGAAUUACUGGGCGUAAAGGGCGCGCAGGCGGCUCAUUUUGUCAGGCGUGAAAGCCCCGGGCUUAACCUGGGAACUGCGUUUGAUACGGAUGGGCUAGAGUUCGGGAGAGGAGAGUGGAAUUCCCAGUGUAGAGGUGAAAUUCGUAGAUAUUGGGAAGAACACCGGUGGCGAAGGCGGCUCUCUGGACCGAUACUGACGCUGAGGAGCGAAAGCAUGGGGAGCGAACAGG
rnacentral:rRNA from 1 species